rnacentral:lncRNA from 10 species
UUAACUAUUUACUUCUUUUGGAAGCCUCCAUCUGGCCCAUCUAUCUUUAUUCUCCCAGGAUCACAGCCCUUUGCGUCAUGCCAAGGAAGCCUUGGAAUAUUUUGUUUCUGAGGCCAAGUUUCAUUGGCCUGUCAAGGGAUAAUCCUUCAUCUGGGAAAAGAAAUGGACAUGGAGCUACUGCACACAAGGUUUGGGGUGUUUUUCUCUUAAGAAAUAUAAACAUUAAACACGGGAAGUAACGAGAACAUGAAGCGUUCUUGGCAGAACACCUGAGCCACAGUAUCAGAACUAGGGUUGGAAGCCUGCUUUUCCUGGAAUGAAACCCCUCACUCUUCAAGUGUCCAGGAGACAAG